UGUUAUUUUUCAGAAACAAUACAGGCAAUUUAGAAAAUUGCUCACUUCACAAGUAAUUUGAAUUCGUAUGAAGUUGUCAUACAUUAAAAACGACUUCGAAUAAAUGAUUCAGAAUCACCUUUAUUGUGUUUCAUAGCCCGUGAUCACUUUGAACUGUUCCUACAUGGCACAGGAGAAGCUGCGAGACAGCCGUGUCUUAAAAUAGACAUUAAAAACAAUCACUUUCAUUCAUAAACGCACUCAGUCAGCUGUGUUCGGAGACUACAGCGUCAUCUCUUGAAUGUACUCGGUGCCCUUGCAGACAGGAGAUUCAGGGACGUGCAGACUGAGGGUGGGUGCUUGCCUUGAGCUGACCCUGUCUAUCCCCUCGUGUGACGUUCUUUGUUUUCCUGCCAUUGUAUAUUUGUUGAGGAGGAACGCUCUAAAAUUGGCUUUUUGUUUGAGAGUUUACUCAACAGCACGGUUUCCUUUCAUUGCUCGUGCCAUUCCACACUUACCGAAACAUCUUUAAAAUUAGUCAACCAAACAGGAACCCGUGCGGGUGAAAAUUGGGAUGCUCGGAGUGGGUGGACAUCUUCCUCCUCCGCUUUAUUUUUACACCGUGAAGGAUCCAGUUUCAUAACAUCUCAUAUUCCAGUUGUUAUCUGGGCAUGUGCAAAUCACGGACGACGGAGUCCUCGUGUAACACAACCUUUCCACUAAAUACCCUCUAACGGCUCCCGCGGGACUCGCUCGCGGCCCGGCCUCCUCGUAUACAACAUGAUGUAAUGUUUGCACAGGCUGUAAUGCAUAAUGAACUCGCCGAAGUUCUUGAUUCCUUUAUAAAUAACAGCUUUAAAGUCACUCUAAUCUGGCAAUGAGCUGAUGCCAGGUGGAUUUCAGCUCAGCGCCGAGGAUGUUGGAGAUUUCCAGGUGAGUGAGAAGUUUCCAGAAAGUAAAAGGCAGAACAAUGCAACUUGCGGCGACUCUUAGAAGUUGGAAAACGCUGACAUCCGGAGCUGAGCCUGGGAUUGUGUCGGGCCAGACCUGCUCCCGGCCUCCGUGUUCGAGAGAGAGAUGGGGUCUUUGAUGAAAGAGGUAGUGGAAAAAGAAAUGAAGCUUUGAUUUCUGAAUCUCUCGUAAUGUCUUGUUCUGUAAAAGUCAAAGUCCCGUGAAUUGAUGGCUUGCUGGAUAAGGCCUCUCGUGGUUUUCAGGUCUUUUGCAAAAGAUGAUGCUGUCCAAGUUUUGUGGGUAGUGGUAAGAAGGCAUGGAGGCAAAUCAAUCUCAUGUAGUGUAAAGUGAGAAUAUGUAAUCUCUCAAAUUUUACCAUAAUAACACUCAUUUUAUCAAAAAUCUCUUUUCUAGUAAAGCUGUAGUCCGUAAGUAACAGGCCUGUCACACUGAUCCGACCAACUGAGGGAAAAAGCUUUACAAUAAAUCACGCUACAAAUGAUCGUUUUAUUAAAUCAAACGAACGAUUAGCUCAUAUCACAUCAAACCUUGCAAAUAAUUAUUAUUGUUGUAAUUUAUUCUACAAUGCUACAAUUUGAAUUGUGUCGAUUCUUGUGAAAACGUGAUUCUGCACAUAAAAAAACCUUUAAAAAAGCCCUUUCCUUUAAGAAUAAGCACCGUAAUGAAGCUAUUUCCAGAUGGAUCUCAUAUCUAUGUUUGUGAAGUUACGAACAUAUGUUGCUUUUACACUUGCGUUUCUCAAAAGUGCACUUAACACCAACGUGCAAGUAUAUAUUUAUAAAAAUUACUAAAUGUUUUAUUAAAUGCUAUUAAAUAUCAAAAGAAGGCUUGUGUGAAACUGAAAGCUUGGGUAAUGACUGCUACAUAUAUUGUAUAUUAAAACAGAAAACUUAUUUUAACUAAGUAAUAUUUCUCAAUAUUUUUUAUUUUCUUUUUAGAUUUUAAUCAAGUAAAUACAGCCUUGGCCGGCACACAACGUAAAAUAUAAUUAUACUCCACUUUUACCAGUAGUGUGUAUGUUUUUGGAAGCCUUUACACCGCUUAAAUAAAUAUACCUCAACCGCAGAGACUGCAGGGGUGAAGAGGAAGUACAACAGGUUGGGAAAACUGUAAAACAAAUUCCAGUUUUCCUGAUUCCUGCUUCCAAUAUCGGCACUCCAUCCGACCCCCUUGCUCCGUGAGAUUUCCUGCCUAUUUCUGGCCCAUCCGCUCCCUGGCAUGAUCCGACUGUUGCUCGGGCAGAUCCGGACAGGGAGAAAGCAGGGAACAGCAGGAAAUGUAUUUUCCAGGCGUCAAGAGCCCCCGCCCAGCUCCCAAAGAAAGGGGCAUCGGAGCCUAUCACACACUAUUUAAAGAUGACCCCAAGUGUGCAAGGGUGUGUGUUAGUGAUGCUGUGUGUGCUAAGUGUGUGUUAGUGAUGCUGGGAAUGUUCACUGACAGCACUUCUGGAAAGUGCCACAGUCAGUAUGGCAUCACAAACACACACACACACACUCUUCCUUGGAAACCUCUUCCUUUAGAAGUUAAGUUGACUUUUGUGGGAUGUUUUAACGCAGGAAAACACUUUAAGUAUACAUAUAUAUAUUUGUCUGAGGACAUGAUACAAUUUUCUUUUUCUGGGGAAAUCCUAUUUUUCUACAGGCUGAAAUCUUUAGCCUGAUGUGUUUUCUUUCUGUCUUUAUAAAGCCUAAAACUGACACAUGACUUAAUAUGAUUAUUUGCAAAUUUAGUUUAUAAAUUAAUGGAAAUCAAUGAAUGAACGAGUCUAAAUAAAUCAAAUUGUCUAAAUACAAAAAGCUAACAAAACAAAGAAAAUUUUUUUUAAUGCAAAACACACACAUACACACACAUACACAUACACACACACACACACACACACACACAAAAGCAUUAUAACUAAAACUGACACAUGGCUUAAGAUGAAUUAUUAUUUGGAAUUAUUUGCAUUAUUAUUUUCCAUUUUAAUUUAUCAAUUGAAUUAAUAAAUGAAUUUGUCUAAAUAAAUACAACUGUCCUAAUUCAAAAAACAAAGCACAGCAACAAUGGGUAACAAAAUAAACAAAAAACAGACACACACAUGCACACACAGUCAUGACAAUACACAAUUAAAACUGACAUGACUAUUUGCAUUUUUAGCUUAUGAAUUAAUUUGUCUAAAUCAACACAGAAACAAUAACAAAAUAAAAAAAGCUAAAUGCAAAACAAACAAAAACAUAACACCUUGCCUUAAAGCACACACACACUAAAACAAAUUGUACUAAAUACAUAACACCUACCCCUAAAUAUAUAUAUAUAUGUAUGUGUGUGUGUGUGUGUGUGUGUGUGUGUGUGUAUCAUUGUAACAUUGUCUUGAAAGACAUUAAAUAAAAAGCAUGUAACUAUCCUUGAAAUAGUUGCCCAUUAGCUCUAAUAGGAUGGGAACAAAAAGGAAUAAAUAAGAGAAAACCGCAUCUAUUCUGAGACUGAAAGCAGUGGGGUUAUGGGUCUUUGAAGAGGCACCUGAGUGUGUGAUGUUUAAUGGCCGUUUAAGCCUUUCUGGGGGAUGUAAGGAUCUGAGAGCUGUGAAGCAGAGAGCAGAGCUGUGGAGGUGCUGACCGCUAUGCCCUCACUGUGCCCUGCAGGAGAAUCUGGACUCUGCUGCCUUUGGCACAUGAUGUGACAGAACAUCUACCUGGUCCUGGAAGAGUUGCUUGGCUUUGAGAGUUUGGACCAGGAUCAAGAGAAACAAACAUCGCCACUCCAAAAGAAAGCACUCAAAACAGCAUCUGGACAUCCUGCAGGUGUGGGUGGCUUACCUGGACUCCCGUCCUCUCCACAGGGGCCUUGCACUCAACACCCACCCCAUCCGCUGCCUCCGCCGGGUCAGACCGCUGCCAGCGGUGGGUGGUUCACCACAGAUCUCCAGCGCUGGAAACCUGGAUCCAGUCUGCCAAUUCAAAGACAGGGUCGGCAUUACAUCAUCCAGUGACCUAUCAGAUGGUUUGGUCCUGUGAGAGUCACUGACCUACACCUCCCCUAAUCUGGCCCUCACUCAAUGAGAAUUAACACUAGCAACAGGGGACUAUUCAAACCGCUAACACUUAUAUUUCGCACACACAUACCUGCCUGCUUUGUGUUAACAGCUUCCCAUUCAUAUACUCUUACGAAUAUAGUGACUCCUAAACGCAUUUGGACACUUUUAGAGCAGAAUUUUAAGCACCAUUGCAUUAACUUAAUAUCUAAGCAAAUCGCACCUGCAGCUAGUUGUAUUUUUUUUUUUACAACUUCACUUUUCAGAGCCAUUUUAUUGAAAUUUAAUUACCACGGUAUUUUUUAGUGGAUGUAUGAAGUCAGUUCUCCUGAUGUUUACGCAGAUGUUCUUAAAAAGUAACCAGAGAAUUACAUUAAUAUGAACAUGAUCCACUAACAUUUGAAAGAGUCCAAAUACUGUCUUCAUUUCAAACUGUGUAUCUAUUGGUUAACAAAUUAAACCGUAACACACUUUUCUAUGUUAGAAUAAUAGUUUUAAACUUGAAUUAAAAAUGUAGUCCCCUUAUGAACUUUUUGUCCUUGUGGAGAUGUCAGGUUUGAGGGUCCAUCUUGGGAAACUUCAUCUUGAAAAAUACUAAAUAACCAAAAGAAACACACACGAAAUAGGAAUUUAAGCCUUAUCUACAGCAGAGGUAGAAAUAAACGUGUAUUUGCCAAGUUAAAUAUCAGUUGUCAGCACCUUUAUCAGGCCAUCAAUCCUAAACAUUUAAAGGUUUUUUGGAAUGAAUGGAAAACGGAGAUGGAAAUAUGGAGAGUUAGAGAUUCUGGCAUCAGUUUUACAUCGAUAUAAUUACAAAUUCUACAACUGAGCAUAUGUGUGUGCGCGCAUUUGUGUUUUCACUUAAAUUUAAUGUCAAAAAUGUUGCCAGUUGUUGUCAUAUUAAAAACUGCCCCAUCCUUAAAAUAAAAAUAGCCACAUGCAGCAUGUAUCAAAACAAAUGAACCAUUAUAUAGCUUUGUGUGACAUAAUAUAACUUGUAAAUAUAAUU